GUUUCCUACGGGGGGCAGCAGUGGGGGAUAUUGCACAAUGGGCGCAAGCCUGAUGCAGCGACGCCGCGUGAGCGAAGAAGUAUUUCGGUAUGUAAAGCUCUCUCAGCAGGGAAGAAAAUGACGGUACCUGACUAAGAAGCUCCGGCUAAAUACGUGCCAGCAGCCGCGGUAAUACGUAUGGGGCAAGCGUUAUCCGGAUUUACUGGGUGUAAAGGGAGCGUAGGCGGCCUGGCAAGCCUGAUGUGAAAUACCGGGGCCCAACCC
rnacentral:rRNA from 1 species